UAACGCGUGAGCAACCUGCCUUGUACUGGGGGAUAACGUCGGGAAACCGGCGCUAAUACCGCAUAACAUUACGAUAGCGCAUGUUAUUGUAAUCAAAGCUUUAGUGGUACGAGACGGGCUCGCGUCCAAUUAGCUAGUUGGUGAGGUAAAGGCUCACCAAGGCGACGAUUGGUAGCCGAACUGAGAGGUUGAUCGGCCGCAUUGGGACUGAGACACGGCCCAGACUCUACGGGA
rnacentral:rRNA from 1 species